rnacentral:sRNA from 1 species
GUCGUCCGGAGGAACACAUUGGUCAACUCAGGUUCUAGAGUAGAGAUGCUUGUCAAUGCAACAAUGGAGGUAACUGCUGACAAGCCAGUCGGAUGUUUUCAAAUUGUCUUCUCCCCUUGCCGCAGUUCUCCAGACGACUUUGAGAGGGUCGCCAUGUUGCAGAUAGUUCCCGUGGAGAUGUUUUUCAAUUUUUAUUCCUGGAGUUCGCUAGAUACGCUGAACGGCAGUAUACAGAUGCAUGUUUAUUUUAUUGUCCAGCAAUCGGAGAUUCAUCUUUUGACCUUAAAGUCGAC